rnacentral:rRNA from 1 species
CCUACGGGAGGCAGCAGUGAGGAAUAUUGGUCAAUGGGCGAGAGCCUGAACCAGCCAAGUCGCGUGAAGGAUGAAGGAUCUAUGGUUUGUAAACUUCUUUUAUAUGGGAAUAAAGUGAGGAACGUGUUACUUUUUGUAUGUACCAUAUGAAUAAGCAUCGGCUAACUCCGUGCCAGCAGCCGCGGUAAUACGGAGGAUGCGAGCGUUAUCCGGAUUUAUUGGGUUUAAAGGGUGCGUAGGUGGUUAAUUAAGUCAGCGGUGAAAGGUUGUGGCUCAACCAUAAAAUUGCCGUUGAAACUGGUUGACUUGAGUAUAUUGGAGGUAGGCGGAAUGCGUGGUGUAGCGGUGAAAUGCAUAGAUAUCACGCAGAACUCCGAUUGCGAAGGCAGCUUACUAAACUAUAACUGACACUGAAGCACGAAAGCGUGGGGAUCAAACAGGAUUAGAUACCCCAGUAGUC